GAUGAACGCUGGCGGCGUGCCUAAUACAUGCAAGUCGAGCGAAUGGAUUAAGAGCUUGCUCUUAUGAAGUUAGCGGCGGACGGGUGAGUAACACGUGGGUAACCUGCCCAUAAGACUGGGAUAACUCCGGGAAACCGGGGCUAAUACCGGAUAACAUUUUGAACCGCAUGGUUCGAAAUUGAAAGGCGGCUUCGGCUGUCACUUAUGGAUGGACCCGCGUCGCAUUAGCUAGUUGGUGAGGUAACGGCUCACCAAGGCAACGAAGCGUAGCCGACCUGAGAGGGUGAUCGGGCACACUUGGACUGAGACACGGCCCAGACUCCUACGGGAGGCAGCAGUAGGGAAUCUUCCGCAAUGGACGAAAGUCUGACGGAGCAACGCCGCGUGAGUGAUGAAGGCUUUCGGGUCGUAAAACUCUGUUGUUAGGGAAGAACAAGUGCUAGUUGAAUAAGCUGGCACCUUGACGGUACCUAACCAGAAAGCCACGGCUAACUACGUGCCAGCCGCCGCAGUAA
rnacentral:rRNA from 1 species